AUGGAGAUUGCCUACCCCUACGGCGGGGAGCUCACCAGGAAGCACGGCUUCGUCACAGCCGAGCCGUUUGACGCCAAGACCGGCAUCAUGUCCGGCCCCAAGCGCGCGAGGGAGAUGGAGAUCCUUCGGCAGCGCUUUCAAGCAGAGCUCGUCGCCGUCCGUGGCCUCCUCCACAAGGCGGCCGCCGUGCUAGCUCCCGCCUCGUCCCCGUCGGCUCCCCGCGUCAAGAAGAGUCGUCCAAGGUUCUUGGCCGAGGAGCCGCCGGCCAAGAAGAGGAAGGCGUCUCCUCCCGUUCCUGUGAUCAAUCGCAAGAAGGCGCCUACGAAGACGAAGAUGACGGCCUCUGAGAGGGAGAUGCUCGCGGAAGACCUGGAGCUGUUCGUUGCGGAAAUCCCCGAUCACGUCGUCCAGCUCUUGAAGAAGCACAGCUGCGCCACCCGCCCCGGCGAAAUCGAGAUCGACCUCCACGCAAUGGACGACGCCGCCGUCGUCGAGUUACAGGAGCAGGUUGACAAGUUCGCUCGACAGAGGAGGUCGAAUCCGUCGCCGCAAGAACGGGACCAAGACGGCCCUAAGGUGAUGGCCCAAGAGGAGGAGGAGGAGGACGAAGAAGUUGACAUCUGUGGCGGCGUCUCCCCCUUAGCGAUCGUGCCGCAACCUCUGCCGCAAGAACGGCACCAAGACGGCCCUAAGGCCAUGGCCCAAGAGGAGGAGGAAGAUGUUGACAUCUGCGGUGGCGUAUCCCCAUUACCGAUCGUCGAAGAUGAAACAGCCAGUGCCAGCCCAAGCUCCAGCGGCAGCAGUUCGGAUACUGAUUCCAGCGACAGCGAUUCAGAUACUGAUCCUGGCAGCAGCGACUUGGGUUCAGAGCACUCCGGCGGCAGUGACUCAGAUUCUGAUUCAGAUGAGAUCGUCGACAGCCUAGCUCCUCCAACAUGCGAGCAGCUCGCCCGUGCUCUGGAAAGGCAGCGAAAGGAGGCCACGUCCCGGGCGAGGGAGAAGGCCCGUCAGGAGGUGCUCCAGAUGGAGAAGACGGCAAUGCCGGACGAUACCCUACACCCAGAGGAUCUGAAGAGGCUCGGCAUUGAUGAGUACAACACUGCGAAGCCCAACAACUUGUUGCGGCAGAUUGGACUCUACCUCAAGCUUGACGACGACCGGAAGCAUCAUCAUCAUCAUCAUCAAAUCUUCGAAGAAGACCUAGAGGAAGGGGAGAUUCUAUCGUGA
rnacentral:rRNA from 1 species